rnacentral:rRNA from 1 species
AGCGAACGCUGGCGCCAGGCCUAACACAUGCAAGUCGAACGAACUCUUCGGAGUUAGUGGCGGACGGGUGAGUAACACGUGGGAACGUGCCUUUAGGUUCGGAAUAACUCAGGGAAACUUGUGCUAAUACCGAAUGUGCCCUUCGGGGGAAAGAUUUAUCGCCUUUAGAGCGGCCCGCGUCUGAUUAGCUAGUUGGUGAGGUAAAGGCUCACCAAGGCGACGAUCAGUAGCUGGUCUGAGAGGAUGAUCAGCCACAUUGGGACUGAGACACGGCCCAAACGCCUACGGGAGGCAGCAGUGGGGAAUCUUGCGCAAUGGGCGAAAGCAUGACGCAGCCAUGCCGCGUGAAUGAUGAAGGUCUUAGGAUUGUAAAAUUCUUUCACCGGGGACGAUAAUGACGGUACCCGGAGAAGAAGCCCCGGCUAACUUCGUG